ACUAAUCAUACAGUACACUUUGCUAUUUUAAAAGUUGCGAAUACCCAGAAACUCGUGUGAAGCGUACUUUCCGACCAAUCGACGAACGAAGCGUAUCAAAGCUUUCUGCGAUCGAACCACGGGAUGGGUUCUUUAUGCCGAUUGGUCGAGCUCCGCUGAUUUCCGAGAUCGAUCCAUAGAACUGGUAGUGGCUGUUCGAUUUUUCAAAGCAGUUUUCCAUUUCACUUUUUUUCCAAUUUACAGGCUACUGGAAAGUUUCAUGAGCUUCGAUGAAGUAGCUAGAAAUGAAAAGUUUGUUGGGUGCAUGUGCCAGUCUUCUCGAAACGUCAAUUGCAAAUAUUUGUACGUAUAAACGCUCUGAUCGAUAAAAUUUCAUUUUACAUUUAUAUUAUGUUCGGUUAGUGUAUACUACUUUUCUAACGAGAUUGCGGAUACGAUUUUCAUUUUCCACUGUGCUAACGAAUCAUUUUCACGUAAUAAGAUCUGUCUUUAUAUCGCCAGGCACGUAUCUUCCACGAACCAGGU
rnacentral:misc_RNA from 1 species